rnacentral:rRNA from 1 species
UACGGAGGAUCCAAGCGUUAUCCGGAUUUAUUGGGUUUAAAGGGUGCGUAGGCGGGAGAUUAAGUCGGUGGUGAAAUUUUGCAGCUCAACUGUAAAAGUGCCUUCGAUACUGGUGGUCUUGAGUGUGGAUGAAGUAGGCGGAAUUUGUGGUGUAGCGGUGAAAUGCAUAGAUAUCACGAGGAACUCCGAUUGCGCAGGCAGCUUACUAAACCAUAACUGACGCUCAGGCACGAAGGCGUGGGGAUCAAACAGGAUUAGAUACCCCCGUA